rnacentral:lncRNA from 1 species
CUUCUACUUCUUAUUCCUUCUAAAUUCUUGGGUUUUGUCUGUCAAAGAGGGAAUUAUAACCCAGGCUCCAAAGAGGUAGGCACAGGAAUUUAAAGGAGGUCUUGUCUGCAAAGUGCCUGAAACAUCCUUCCUUCCUUUUUAAACUUUUAUUAAAGUUAUACAGGCACACUAUUUAAAACUUCCCCAAGGCUUCUUGUGAAAAGCAGCAGUUUCCCCCACCCUCUUUCUCCUUGUUUCCUUUUCCCCAGAGGCAGUGACUUU